AAUCAAGGAAAAGUCAGAAGAGUUUAAUUACUAGACUUGCUUUUUGUUUUUAUUAUCAACAAUCAAGUUAAUGGUACACUCUUGGAAAACUAUAUGCACAUGUAGAAAUAUUUCCCUUUUAAAUAGAAGCAUUCAUCAUAACACAUAUAAAUAAAUUCGAAAAUCUGAAACAUAACUUAUGACGCUUAUGUUCACAAACAUAGUCCAACAAGAAGAAAAAAAGAAAUCAGACAGACAUGCACCUGAUAACAAAAAUAUAUACCAUUGUUUGAACCGUGGUCUCUCUAAACACAAAGGAAUUGAACCCGUGAGAACCUUAUUACUCCAUAAAGACACGCCAUAGAGACUACAAGAAGAGAAAAACAUUAUACGGUCACGUAGAGGAGACGGUCUGUACUGAUAUUAACACGAUACAAUUGAGUCACAGAACACAGUUGUAGAAAGACACCAAAAAAGUUAAAGCCUCAACAUUCAACUAAUAUCUAUAGUUUGUGCCUUUUAAAACAAAAACCAAAAAACCAAAUCCCAACAGAUAUGUCUAAACUGCGCGAAGAAUGGAAUCAUCUAUACAGUCCAUCCACCAUUCAAGGAUGUGAGUCCAUUUCGGGUCAACAGAAAUGCAAACCGAGAUACUUUUGCAAACUUGUGUGUGCGCGCCUUUCCCUUGCUCAGUAGAUUUCUCUGCAGCCAGUCGCGUGGACUGCAACUGACUCCAACCCAAAGCAGUGCCAAAAAGUUCAGUAAAAGCUGGUGGAAGAAGAAAAUGCCGGUGGGGGUGGCGGGAGAGAAAAAAAAGGGAAGAGUUGCGAAAUAUGAGAGACAGUUUGCAGAGUUUGCGGAUGAAAAGGCAUCUCACGUAUAGGGCAUCUUUCCGGGCCGAGUGGCUGCAAAGAUUCGGGGUUGGGAGGUGCAACCGUGUGGGGUUCGGAUGCGCGAAUGGCGUUCGGCGAGGUGGGACAGGCAAGCGGGCGCGACGAAGUCACCUUGGCCGCGGGGACAGUCUGCACGAAUCGUCGCCGCAGAGGCCCGAACCCAAGGGCACUAGAGGAAGGGGGGCUGGAAAGCUCCCCUACUCUCCCCAGAGGAGAAGCCCCAAGGGAAUCUGUGCUGUCAGGAGGGCGCCAAUUUAGGGGUUCACAAGAUAGAGCCCUCAGACAGUGCCAAGUGCUGCCUCCCCUUUCCCCCUCUUCUUCCCUUUUUUUUUUUUUUUUUUUGCAUUUAAAAACCUUUUAGGGUUUUUUUUUUUUAUUUUUUAAUUGUUACAGCCUUACUAAUUUUUUUUCUUUAAUUUUGGGGGAUUUUUUUGUUUUUCUCAUUUUCUAAGCAAGUCACUGAGUUGGUUGUGCCCCCAACCCAUCUCUCCCUGUCACCUGUUCGGGCCACAGACAUACAUUCCCCGAGACAGACAUACACCCACACGCAGACACAGCCCCCUGAGAGUGCCCCCGAGUCCAGGAGUGGGGUUGAAAUGGGGGCGACGCCAUUUUCUCUUUAUUCUUAUCGCGAUUACUUUAGGCUUUCAAUGAAAAAGCCACGGCAGCAGCGACGACAAUAGCCUUGGGCCUACCCGCUCGCCCACUCGCCCGCCCGGCCCGGCUCGCCCGCUGUCGCCGCCGCCGCCGCCGC
ensembl:lncRNA